GAUGAACGCUGGCGGCGUGCCUAAUACAUGCAAGUCGAGCGAACGGACGAGAAGCUUGCUUCUCUGAUGUUAGCGGCGGACGGGUGAGUAACACGUGGAUAACCUACCUAUAAGACUGGGAUAACUUCGGGAAACCGGAGCUAAUACCGGAUGAUAUUUUGAACCGCAUGGUUCAAAAGUGAAAGACGGUCUUGCUGUCACUUAUAGAUGGAUCCGCGCUGCAUUAGCUAGUUGGUAAGGUAACGGCUUACCAAGGCAACGAUGCAUAGCCGACCUGAGAGGGUGAUCGGCCACACUGGAACUGAGACACGGUCCAGACUCCUACGGGUGGCAGCAGUAGGGAAUCUUCCGCAAUAGGCGAAAGCCUGACGGAGCAACGCCGCGUGAGUGAUGAAGGUCUUCGGAUCGUAAAACUCUGUUAUUAGGGAAGAACAUAUGUGUAAGUAACUGUGCACAUCUUGACGGUACCUAAUCAGAAAGCCACGGCUAACUACGUGC
rnacentral:rRNA from 1 species